AAGCCUGUAGCUCAGCGGUUAGAGCGUACGCCUGAUAAGUGUAAGGUCAGUAGUUCAAAUCUACUCAGGCUUA
rnacentral:tRNA from 1 species